rnacentral:rRNA from 1 species
CCGCACGCGCGCUACACUGUUGCAUUCAGCGAGUUUACAACCUUGAUCGAGAGGUCUGGGUAAUCUUUCAAAAUGCAACGUGAUUGGGAUAGAUUAUUGCAAUUAUUAAUCUUCAACGAGGAAUUCCUAGUAAACGCAAGUCAUCAGCUUGUAUUGCAUUACGU